rnacentral:rRNA from 1 species
GGGGAUAACUACUGGAAACGGUAGCUAAUACCGCAUAACGUCGCAAGACCAAAGAGGGGACCUUCGGGCCUCUUGCCAUCAGAUGUGCCCAGAUGGGAUUAGCUAGUAGGUGGGGUAACGGCUCACCUAGGCGACGAUCCCUAGCUGGUCUGAGAGGAUGACCAGCCACACUGGAACUGAGACACGGUCCAG